rnacentral:rRNA from 1 species
UCCGUAGGUGAACCUGCGGAAGGAUCAUUAACGUGUACACACACACACACGCACCGUUUGUUGUUGUUGUUGUUGUUGUUGUACGUGUCAAAUAAUCCAUAGACAUUGUGCGCGUGUUAUGCGAAAACAUCAGCACCGGUAGAAACCCGCACGCCGCGUUGCGUUCGCAUAGCCGCCUUCAUCAUAAUGCGGUUAGAACUCUUUUGUUCUAAGACACACCAUUACGAAUUUUUUUUUUUAUCAUUUUUCAUCCAAAUCAAAACCACUACCCUGGACGGUGGAUCACUUGGCUCGCGGGUCGAUGAAGAACGCAGUUAACUGCGCGUCAUAGUGUGAACUGCAGGACACAUUUGAACAUCGACAUUUCGAACGCACAUUGCGGUCCCUGGAGACACAUCCGGGACCACUCCUGUCUGAGGGCCGGCUGCAUAAAAACAAAAACCACACUGCACGUACGUAUGUAUGUGCAUUUGACGGUUCCGAUCAUUCGAUUCGAGUUUGGUCAGGUCCGUUCAAAUAUAGAUCGUGUAAGACCGCUGACACGGGUGGCGCGCCUCGCGGCUCGCAACCGAAGCGACUCUUCGGAUUGCCGUUGUAUGUGCCGUAUGCGCGCGUAUAUAUGGUUGACCAGAGGGUGAGUUCGGUUUGCGAGACACAUGUGUGCUCCGUGCGUAGGCGGACUCGACGUCCGAAGAGCGUAUCGACGUCGCCUCCGAUGCGUUGUCACGUUCUUCCUUGCGAAGGGAAGGGCGUGUACACGUUCGUUUGCGCCGCCGUAACGCUGACGGAUAUCGAGUCUGCCUCUCAUUUUAUCGUUGGCCUCAGAUCAGGGAGGAUCACCCGCCGAAUUUAAGCAUAUCAAUAAGCGGAGGA